AACGAACGCUGGCGGCAGGCUUAACACAUGCAAGUCGAGCGCCCCGCAAGGGGAGCGGCAGACGGGUGAGUAACGCGUGGGAACCUACCCAUCUCUACGGAAUAACGCAUGGAAACGUGUGCUAAUACCGUAUACGUCCUUCGGGAGAAAGAUUUAUCGGAGAUGGAUGAGCCCGCGUUGGAUUAGCUAGUUGGUGGGGUAAAGGCCUACCAAGGCGACGAUCCAGAGCUGGUCUGAGAGGAUGAUCAGCCACACUGGGACUGAGACACGGCCCAGACUCCGACGGGAGGCAGCAGUGGGGAAUAUUGGACAAUGGGCGCAAGCUUGAUCCAGCCAUGCCGCGUGAGUGAUGAAGGCCCUAGGGUUGUAAAGCUCUUUCACCGGUGAAGAUAAUGACGGUAACCGGAGAAGAAGCCCCGGCUAACUUCGUGCCAGCCGCCGCAGUAAAAC
rnacentral:rRNA from 1 species